rnacentral:rRNA from 1 species
CAAUAGCGUAUAUUUAAGUUGUUGCAGUUAAAAAGCUCGUAGUUGGAUUUCGGUUGAGAACGGCCGGUCCGCCGUUUGGUGUGCACUGGCUGGUUUCAACUUCCUGUAGAGGACGUGCUCUGGCUUCACGGCUGGACGCGGAGUCUACGUGGUUACUUUGAAAAAAUUAGAGUGUUCAAAGCGGGCUUACGCUUGAAUAUUUCAGCAUGGAAUAACACUAUAGGACUCCUGUCCUAUUUCGUUGGUCUCGGGACGGGAGUAAUGAUUAAGAGGAACAGUUGGGGGCAUUCGUAUUUCAUUGUCAGAGGUGAAAUUCUUGGAUUUAUGAAAGACGAACUUCUGCGAAAGCAUUUACCAAGGAUGUUUUCAUUA